ensembl:lncRNA
AUGAAAAUCUUCAUCAUUCCAAGCCAAAAAUAUUUCAGACCAAACUUUGUGAUUUAUGUAGAUGAGCAAACCCCACCCAGCACCUCGUUCGUUCUAAUCCAGCUCUGCUGUUUUCCCAGGAUAUCUAAAUGCAAACCCUCUGGAAUCCUAGCAAGGGAAAGGAGGAUCCCAGCUAUUUCAAUCCCCACAAAUAAUUUUAAAUUGCUGUGUAAAGUUGGUCAUUUUUCUUCCCCAGGAAGAAGCCUCUCUCCAAAGACGUUGUUCUGCAGCACGUCAGGCUCUUUUCCACAGGGAUUUGGAUGCUGAAUCCAAGAGUUCCCAUCAGCAGCUCCUGAAACCAAGGCCACCUCUGUCCUCAGAUGCCAGGAACCAGAACUUUCACCUGACUAUGCCAGAGACCAGGUGAGCUCAGUUCAGGGUGGGAUGAAGGUUAAUCCUAAACCAUCAGCAGCCUGAUGAAACACGUGGUGCUGCAGCAUAAAACUAAAGUUAUGGAUAGGAAUGGUUUCUUUUUGCCAUAAUUCACACCCACAGGAAGGGAUUUUCAAGAGCUUUCUUUCCAGGGGAUAUUUGAAGGGAAAAAGAUGCUGAAAGAAACUUGGUCCAGGCAUAGAAAACCAGAAUUUGAGUGAUAAAAUUGGUUUUGAGUGAUUGAGUGAUAAAUUAGUUUUAAAAUGAAUUUACCACAGUUCCUGCUGAGUGGCAUUUGGGUGUUAUCAUGAUCUGGAAAUCCCUGUCUUUAAAUUCCACCAGGUGCUGAGCUCUGUGUUGCCUUUACCUUCCUCACCCCCUCAGCCUCGUGUCUCGUGCAGCCUCUCUGCCCCUGGGUGACGACCACCCUCAGUUAUUUACUCCACAGCCAAACAGGGGACACCUCCUGUGUCAUUUCAACAUUUGAAGAUGUUUCCUCCUCAAAUCCUCUCUCCUUGUAGAGAGGAGAAGAUCUGAAGAGAGAUCUUCGCUGGUUUUAGGCCUUCAGCUCCCAAGUGAGUCUGUGGCUCUGUCAUCGCCCCUCACAAGAAGUCCAUGGCUUCCUCUGCUGCUCCUGUUCCAGGAGGAGAUCUGAGCUCUGGCUGUGACCAGGGACACUUUGGCCUUUUUUCCUGGAUAAUCCCAUUUUCCCCCCUCUCUUGGCCAUCUGCUGUCACCUCAUGCUCUGAUGGCACGGCCUAGGGAAGCAGAGCAGGCCAGAUCCCACUCCCACAGCAGGAAUUAGGGCUGUGUCUUCAGCCAGGCUCUUUGGAAUGACCACAAAGCUCAUCUGAAAGCUUCAUCUCAGAAUCAGCCACACUCUGUGCCCUGUGGCUGUUGGUAAAGUGGAAUUCCAUGGAAUUCUAGAACGGUUUGGGUUGGAAAGGCCUUAAAGCCCAUCCAGUUCCAUGGGCAUGGACACUUCCACUGUCCCAGGUUGCUCCCAGCCCCAAUGUCCAGCCUGGCCUUGGACACUUCCAGGGAUCCAGGGACAGCCACAGCUGCUCUGGGAAUUCCAGCCCCGCCCCUCCUCACCCUCACAGGGAAGAAUUGGAUUAGGGGCUCAAUCCCAGGCCUGAUUCCUUGUUCUCAUUCCAUCCAAACCAAGGCACCAUUCCUGCUCUAUCUAAACACACCAUCCCAUGGAUUUUCAGCGACAUAUUCUCACAUCCUUUAAAAACCACCAUGGAAUAAUAAUCCCAUGAAAUAAUGAGGUGCUUUCCACAUUAAGCCACAUGAGAGAGGCUCAACAUCUUUAUAAGAUCUCAAUUCAUUCCCUUCAUCUCGAAGCAGAACUCUUUAGCUCACCUUGCUGAGAAAACCCCUCAGAAUUCCCUUUAAAUCCCAGCCACUUCCCUGGAUGGGAUGUACAACCUGCCACUGUAAUUCCAAGUGCUUAAUUAACACCCUGGAAAAAGGCUGGAGCUGGAGGCCUCUGCAGAUCCAUUUAUCCCGAGAAUUUGUGCUGAGGGGGGAGCAGAGGCAGCUCCUGAGUGGAACUGGGUGUGGAAUGAGCUGCUGAGGGAUUCUGCAUCAUCUGCCCUCAGCGAGAGGCAGGACCUGGAAGUGUGAAGUUGGGAAGGUCUCCCCCGUGGCAGAUGGGAUGAAAUCUGGAUUUCCGCCGCAGCACAUUUGGGUGUUGUGACUCGAGCAGUGUUUGCAUUUAGCACCCUUAAUAACAGAGAGGAGAAACAACCGUGAGGGGAGAAAGAAAAGCAAACUGCUCAUCUGAGUCAUUUCCUGGGCCUUGCAGCAAAUUCAUAAAGGAAAUACGGAAAAUUCAGGGAAAAAAUUGGAUUAAAGGUGUGAUUGAUGGAAAUGCUCUUGUAGAGAAGCAGCUGAAAUGUUGGGGAGAAAAAUCCCCCAUUUCUGAAAUAUUCUGGUCCAGCCUGUAAGGAUUUUUAAAAAAAAUAUUGAAGUGGUUUAAUCUUUUCUUCUUCUUUCUCUCCAAUUUUAUGCUUCCAACACUUGGGAUGGAAGAAAGAGUAAAUUUAAAAAAGCCGUCAAGCCGAACAUGUUGAGCUCCAGGUAUAUCCAAUGAAGGAAAUGACAUUUUCCAACAUCAGGGAUUAAUCCAACCAUAAAAUCAUUAAGGCUGGAAAACACCUCCAAGAUUACCAAAUCCAACCCCAAAUUUUUUGCAUUGCUUGUCCAAUCUGGCAAUUUUUAUGUAAAAAAAUAGACACCUUCAGCUGUGUGGGAACAGCAUCACCAUUGCUCAGGUCAUUCCCACUUCUUGGAAUCGGGUCCUGCCGUUGUUCUGUUGCUUCUGCUCUGCAAUUAAAAGAAACCUAAUUAAAUUUAAUCAAGUGAAAAUUCAAGGUUUUGGUUGGACAUCUCCCCUCUGACCUGCAGCUUUCAGCAGGACAGUUUCUAAUUUCACUGCUAAGACCACAGCUCUGGU